AUACGGAGGGUGCAAGCGUUAUUCGGAAUCACUGGGCGUAAAGGACGCGUAGGCGGGUUGGCAAGUCAGAUGUGAAAUCCUACAGCUUAACUGUAGAACUGCAUUUGAAACUGUUAACCUAGAGUAUGGGAGGGGGAGAUGGAAUUAGUGGUGUAGGGGUAAAAUCCGUAGAUAUCACUAGGAAUACCGAAAGCGAAGGCGAUCUCCUGGAACAUAACUGACGCUAAGGCGUGAAAGCGUGGGGAGCAAACAGGAUUAGAAACCCUAGUAGUCC
rnacentral:rRNA from 1 species